rnacentral:lncRNA from 1 species
AUGAAUCAAGGACACUCAAGGUCUUGCAUCAAAUGAAUGGCACAAUCAGAGAUAGCUCAGUCUCAGAUGUUGGCAUUGGCCAAGUCCUUUAGCAUAGGGAAUGUUGCUUAGUUCUAAGUCAAGAAGUUCAUAUCAAGUCCCAACAGUCCAACCAGAUGUUUUUUUAGGUUUUUUGUUAUUAUUAGGUAUUUUAAGGUCCUAAGACCAUAAAUAAAACAAAUACAAACAAAACAAAUACAAACAAAAC